rnacentral:rRNA from 1 species
CACGUAGGCGGCACGGUAAGUCAAAGGUGAAAGCCCUCGGCUCAACCGAGGAACUGCCUUUGAAACUGCUUUGCUUGAGUCCGGGAGGGGGGAGCGGAAUUCCCAGUGUAGCGGUGAAAUGCGUAGAUACUGGGAGGAACACCGGUGGCGAAGGCGGCUCCCUGGACCGGUACUGACGCUGAGGUGCGAAAGCGUGGGUAGCAAACA